rnacentral:rRNA from 1 species
CGCGUGUAGCAGUGAAAUGCGUAGAUAUGCGGAGGAACACCGAUGGCGAAGGCAGCCCCCUGGGAUGACACUGACGCUCAUGCACGAAAGCGUGGAGAGCAAACAGGAUUAGAUACCCUGGUAGUCCACGCCCUAAACGAUGUCAACUAGCUGUUGGGGCCUUCGGGCCUUGGUAGCGCAGCUAACGCGUGAAGUUGACCGCCUGGGGAGUACGGUCGCAAGAUUAAAACUCAAAGGAAUUGACGGGGACCCGCACAAGCGGUGGAUGAUGUGGAUUAAUUCGAUGCAACGCGAAAAACCUUACCUACCCUUGACAUGUCUGGAAUCCCGAAGAGAUUUGGGAGUGCUCGCAAGAGAACUGGAACACAGGUGCUGCAUGGCUGUCGUCAGCU